rnacentral:tmRNA from 1 species
GGGGGCGCCACGGUCUCGACGGGGAUCAUUGAGGCGAGGGCUGCGUGCCGAGGUUCCGACUGGGUCUCGUUAAAAAGGUCGGGAAACGAUAAGCGGAAACAGCAACUACGCUUACGCCACUGCUUAAUUGACAGUGGCCGUUCCUCCGGUCUUCUCCCGUAAGACUGGCCAGGGGCGUCGACAAAACGGGAUAGCCUCCCGCCGAAGCUUAUAGGCGGAAGGCGAAACCCCAUAAGCUGGCUUCUCCAGGAAUCCUGCCGCUGGGAGUCCGGAAGAGCGAGAUUCAAAUCAACGGCUACGCACGUAGAUGCUCCUGGCUGAAGGUUUCCGGACGCGGGUUCGACUCCCGCCGCCUCCACCA